rnacentral:rRNA from 1 species
ACGCUCGACACCUACGGGGGCAGCAGUGGGGAAUAUUGCACAAUGGGGGAAACCCUGAUGCAGCGACGCCGCGUGAAGGAAGAAGUAUCUCGGUAUGUAAACUUCUAUCAGCAGGGAAGAAAAUGACGGUACCUGACUAAGAAGCCCCGGCUAACUACGUGCCAGCAGCCGCGGUAAUCUGAGGCGGGCUGGCAAGGC